GCCUUCUUGGUCUAGCGGUUUAUGAUUUGGGUCUCAUACUAGCUUAUGAAUACACUGAUAAGUGUGUGUCAUCCCACGGUCGCCAGUUCGAUCCUGGCAGAGGGCA